AAUUUUUGAGAGUUUGAUCCUGGCUCAGGAUGAACGCUGGCUGUGUGCCUAAUACAUGCAUGUCGAGCGAAGCACUUCGGUGCUUAGCGGCGAAUGGGUGAGUAACACGUACUUAACCUACCCUCAAGAUUGGGACAACACUUGGAAACGAGUGCUAAUACCAAAUACGUAUUUUUAUCGCAUGAUAGAUAUAUAAAAGGAGCUUCGGCUUCACUAGAGGAUGGGAGUGCGCUACAUUAGUUAGUUGGUAGGGUAAUGGCCUACCAAGACUAUGAUGUAUAGCGGGGCCGAGAGGCUGAUCCGCCACACUGGGACUGAGAUACGGCCCAGACUCCUACGGGAGGCAGCAGUAGGGAAUU
rnacentral:rRNA from 1 species